AUGGCGUCGUUCGUGGCCGCGCUGGUGGCAAUCGUGGUCGUGGCGCUGGUGGCGGUGAUGCGGCGCGCGGCCGCGAGGAAGGAGGACGUGCGGCGGACGGCCUGGCUCGCGGCGGAGCAGGCCCAGUUCGCGGAGCGCGACGCGUACUACUACUACGAUCACCACGCCGCGCCUCACUGGACGGCGCCGGACACGACUCAGUGGACGGCGCCGCAGGUGGCCUGGCCACCGGUCGAGCAGAUGGCGGCACCGCCGGUGGCCUGGCCGGCGGUCGAGCAGAUGGCGGCAACGCCGGUGGCCUGGCCGGCGGUCGAGCAGGUGGCGGCAACGCCGGUGGCCUGGCCGCCGGUCGAGAAGGUGGCGGCGCUGCCGGUGGCCUGGCCGCCGGCGGUGAAGGUGGCGGCGCCGGAGGUGGCCUGGCCGCCGGUCGAUCAGGUGGCGGCGCCGCAUGUGGCUUGGCCGCCGGUCGAUCAGGUGGCGGCGCCGGAGGUGGCCUGGCCGCGGGACGAACAUGUGGCCGCGCCGCGGCUCGAACAGGAGGCGGCGACGGAGCCUACGCUAGCGGCAGCGGCGGGGAAGAAGGGGCCGUGUGUGGUGUGCCGCAAGCCGACGACGUUCCGGUGCAAGCGCUGCAAGGGCGUCAAGUAUUGUGCCGUCAAAUGUCAGAUAGCUCACUGGAGACAAGGCCACAAAGAUGAAUGCCAUCCAGUAAGUGCUGAUGCUAGAGAAGACACCACAAUAGAAGCUUCUUCCACGAAAAAAAUUGAACGCACUAGCUCAGAUGAAGAAAGUGUGGUGACUGGAGUCGAGCAAGCAGUUGAAAGCAAGGAGAUGCCCCUUGAGAAGGCGUCCAAUACGUCAGAGGCUUCUCAACAAGAUAGCAAAGAGUUCACAUUUCCUCAGGUUACAGGACAUGCUGAAUCUGCUGACUGUUCGAGUUCUCCAACUUUUGGUAAACCGUGCAAAGUCGAGGGCGCUUCCGUUAGUGAAAAUGGCUCUCACACUCAGAUUCCGGUGGCGUGUGAUCCAUCUGAAAAGGCAGAUGAUCGUCCUGAAUUCUCUGCUAAAUCAGAGAUCGGAGUUGUGGUGCCAGAUGAUUUGCCAACGAAAAGUUUGGUCAGGCAACAAACUGCUCCAACAAUUGUGAGACAUUACUCAUCGGAAUCGACACUUUUUCCGUAUGAACGCUUCGUUAAGCUCUACAACUCUGACAAGGUGGAAUUGCGUCCUUUUGGUCUUUGUAACCUUGGGAACAGUUGCUAUGCAAAUGUCGUGCUUCAGUGUUUGGCCUUUACCCGACCACUUACAGCAUACUUCCUCGAGGGGCUUCAUUCAAAAAACUGUUCCCAAAAGGAAUGGUGCUUUUUGUGCGAGUUUCAAAAACUCAUUGUGGAGGGUAAGCAAGGACAUUCUCCAUUAUCACCUACUGGAAUACUCUCACAUUUGUCUGACAUCGGAAGUAGCUUUGGCCCGGGCGAAGAGGAAGACGCUCAUGAGUUUCUCAGGUACGCAAUUGAUACUAUGCAAUCUGCUAGCAUGAAGGAAGCCAAUGCAAAUGGUGCCCAUAAGUUAGCUGAAGAAACGACACUGAUUCAGCUAAUGUUCGUGGGCUAUCUACGAUCUAAGAUAAAAUGCACAAAGUGUGGGGUCAGUUCAGAACAUUGCGAACGUAUAAUGGAUCUUACUGUGGAAAUAGAUGGGGAUAUCAGUACUCUUGAAGAAGCACUUCAUCGAUUUACAUCUUCAGAAGUCUUAGAUGGCGAUAACAGAUACCAUUGUACCAGAUGCAAGUCAUAUGAACGUGGCAAAAAGAAGUUGACAAUAUCAGAAGCACCAAAUAUCCUGACUAUUGCACUGAAAAGAUAUCAGUCUGGUAUGUUUGGCAAGAUUAACAAGGCCAUCAGGUUCCCGGAAUACUUGAAUUUGUCUAGCUACAUGAGUACAACAGAUGAUUGUUCCCCUGUGUACAGGCUCUAUGCGGUGGUUGUCCACCGUGAUGUUAUGAACUCAUCCGUUUCUGGUCAUUAUAUAUGUUAUGUCAAGGACUCACAGGGGAAAUGGUACGAAAUGGAUGAUAGCCAGGUGAAACCUGUUUCUCUGAAAAAUGUCCGGUCGGAGCGUGCGUAUAUGCUGCUUUAUACAAGGUGUUCACCACGGGCUCCAAGGUCUUUAAGGAAAUUGAUUAUUGCUCAAGGCCUAUCACACACAAGAAAAGCUAGGCAGACAACAGAUCCAGUAUCAACUUGUUUGGAAGGCCGGAGCCAUUUUAGCAGGCACCAAGGUACGCAAUGGCAGUCAUGCAGGGAUCAUGUAAUGAAUGGCCACACCUACAAGCUGGUUACGUCUGGUGGCUCAUCAAAUCCAGUAUUAGAGCCCACAAGUACAAGCGAGGAUUCUUCGCUGUUCAGCCAUUCUGAUGUAGGGUCAAGUGGCAAUUUAAGCAGCGAUAACACUGACAGCACAAAGAACCCAGGCAGCACGAAGGAGUGCACAUUUGGAAGCUCGGAUCAAAUGCACCCAGUCAGUACAGUGGUGAUGCCUGAGGAGCAUUCGCGGCAGAUGUCCAGCUUGAACCCUAGCUCUUCAACCCAAUAUGCUGAUCAAGGUGAGGUUGACAGGCUGCACCAGCUCAACCUUCAGGCGAGCAAAGGGGUUUGGGAUGAGGGUUGUGAGACCCCAUCCUUCUUCUAUGUUGACCAAGGUGGCCUGUAUGGAUGUCAGGACCCAGGAUUUAGUGCCCAUCCCAUUUAG
rnacentral:rRNA from 1 species